CUACCUUUUGGUUGGACCCAGGAACCCGGCCAGAUGUCUCCUGUGUCGUUUCCAUUCUCCCUCCUUCAGAAGACUUUCUCUGUUUUUAUAUCGUUUACAAAUACAACGCGUUUUAAAAUAACCGUCGACCCGCUGCACCUGUUCAGCUGCUUCAGUUCAGCCAAACAGAGGCGUAUUCAUGCAUUUAAUUCAUGGCCUUUUUUCCCUCUGAAUCAGGAUGAAUCAGCACACAUCGUCCCGUCUUUGAAAUGCGAUCCGGGACUCUCGGUAGAAAAAAAAGCUCUGAGCACUUUCAGGCUGGCGGAUCAGAGUCGUGUCAGAUAUGCUGCUCCCUAAUCUCACCAAUCAAUCAGUGUCUGCUUAGAAGUGCCAGAGAGCCUCGGGGGGGUCGGCGUGGAGGGGGGGGGUACAUCAUCUGUACACCGCUGAACUCAAACCUGUUCAAAAGUCAGAGCGUGGCAACAGGACGACGUCUGCAGACCUGUGGAAAUACUCUGCAAAAGAGUUGUGAAAACUUCAUCACUCCAUAACAAUCGAUAAAUAGUCACAGCUAAAUAAGUGAGAAUAGAAAAUACAAAUAAUGCACAGUUUGUAACAGUUCUGUAGUAGUACUUUUAUUUGAGCCAAGGAUCUGUUUAUAUCUCGACAGUAGUAACACGGCUCUCCCUAAGAGGCUUCGUCUCAUUAAGAACAUCAACCUAAUCGCCUUCAUUAAGCUGAUUGACUCGGAGAGGCUGUUUGUUUUUCUUUCCCUCUGGAUAGAUUUUGUGUUUUUUUUUCAGCCGCCAAGAAACUGUCAGUGUGUUUCAGCUCUUUGUCCCUGACGAAAUGUUUGGGCUGAAAAUGAGGCAAGAACAAGACAAUUGGGUGGAAACUUUGGGAUCGGACUACAGAUCAGGGGCCGUAGUUUCCUUUAAAGCUGCUGGAAUGAUAUCUGCUUUGAGGAAUUUAAACAGAUAUCGUUCCAUGAAGAGUCGUUAAAAACUCAAAGAUGGGGCGUGUAAAGCAAUGCAGAUGUGGCUCAGUUGGAAGGACGCAGCGCGGUUUAUAUUUAGCUCGCACGGAGCAGAGGGAAGCGAAACCCAAACGAGCUCUGCAGACCGAAGCCAAGUCCGGCAGACGUGACGUCGCGCGCCCGGCGCGUCUUUCUCCCCUCCGAGCCCGCCGGGGGCCGACGUUUUCCUCCGCCCGCGGCGGGCUGUGAGAGGCAGGAUUCCCGGGGAGAGUCCAGAGUACACAGUUUACAGCUCGCCGCACUUCAGGCCUUAAUGCUCCACCAAGCCUCGCUGCACAUUUCCACUUCAACACCCACUUUAAAGCGCGCAAACGACUCCGGUUACUGUUUCAUUACCGGCCUAUAAACUCCGAGAUAAGUGGCUCCGUCACAUCCAUCUGAGGGGCGUCCAAGACGUCGCCCGCAAAGGCCCCGCGUCAGCGCGCAGGCCGCCGUCUGUUUGGGGAGAACUCGAUGCUGCGUUUAUGGCCACCGACGGGCCCGUGGUAAUUCGCGUCACACGGUGUCCCCGCUCUUUGCCUUCGGGGAGGAGGGCGAGAGCGGCGUGAGGAGCUGACGGGGAAACGCUUUUGAGUUUCAGGGGUUCGUGCUCCUUCUGAGGAAGGAGACGGCGGAAAGAAAGACGUCUCUGACAAGCUGUCCUCGUCGUAUCCGCAGGGAGGCGUUCUGUAUGUUACGCCAAAGAUGGUGGACGAAGCCCACGCGGCGGGGAGGGGGUCAAUCAGACAGCCAUCUUUUUACAUCGUUGAGCAAAAUUCAGUUUCCUGAGGAGACAAAAAAUAAUUUUGAAAAGACGUAGCAGCGAAGUAACAAAGCAACAAAGUAACAAGCUAACAAAGUAACAAGCUAACAAAGUAACAAGCUAACAAAGCAACAAAGUAACAAGCUAACAAAGUAACAAAGCAACAAAGUAACAAGCUAACAAAGCAACAAGCUAACAAACUAACAAAGCAACAAAGUAACAAACCAAGAAAGUAACGAAGCAACAAACUAACGAAGUAACAAAGCAACAAGCUAACAAAGUAACAAGCUAACAAAGCAACAAAGUAACAAACCAAGAAAGUAACGAAGCAACAAACUAACGAACUAACAAAGCAACAAACUAACAAAGUAACGAAACUUUCCCAGGGAAACUGACCAAAGUUUCAAUAACAUUUCAUACGACGUGAUGAAAGUCCCUCAUCUCCAAUAUGAAGCAUAUGGGCUUCUGAACGAGAGCAGAUGUGUAUAAUAUUAGACACUCUGUAUGUAGCAGCAGUUUGACUCAUUCUCCUCCCUCCUCACCAACGGUGUCUUCCCAAACGUUAUUCCUCAUCUUUUUGUGCGUUUCCUUUUGAAAAACCGCAUCGUUUCCCGCUCGUUACACGCAUGCCGUCUAUAGAAAAAUAGACUUCUAUCGUCUCAGUUCCGCUUGGGGAAGGAACAGCGGCCUGCGGGGGGGGGGAAAGGCCGGUUCUGUCGGACCCUUCGCGGUUCAUCGUUACACACAAUUUGAUUUUGUGACUGACCAACUAAUCGUCAACAUCCGCAGAAACCUCGGCAGUGAAGGGCACGCUUCCCCCACCCCUCCUUUAGACCAUCGGGAGGCAUCAACGGGACGCUGACAAACCCCCCCUGUGAGCGUGCAGCAGAGCAACAGAACCCGUCACUCGUCCCCUGGUGGCGGUACUACGUGGCCCGCGUCGUCCACCAGCAGAACCCUCUUUGGCUUCAUGGACUUUCACUGGGCCGCUGGGAGCCGGCGUGCGAUCCGCUGGCCGUGUGCUUUCGCCACGCCGGGACCCCGCUUUGACCCCCGAGCCCCGGGCCGUCAGACUGUACGGGCCGGAUCACUUCGGGGCUGAACUUUUUAUAGACGGGCGGGUGUUGAAGUUGAGGGGGAGGUGAGGGUAUGUGAGGCCACGGGGGGGAAGUGGAACGUUCAUGGUCUUUAACUUCUUGGACUCUGAAGAGGGAUGAAGGACAGUUUAUUGAAAACGGGUUGUUCUCUGCUUUGGUUUGAAGUCCAUCUACACUCAGAAGUUGGAUUAUAAGUAUCUGCACCUUUUAAAGGAACAGUUCGGACAUUUUGUGCAGCGGCGCUUUGAGACAAUCUGCUUUUAAAUGAAACGUGACUUAAAAAACAGGUGGUUGUUUUAGGAAUUCUGUUCUUCUUCUAUCAGAUAAUGUUUUGUAGGUGCAGGAAGCUCCUGACAAGUAAAAACCCUGCAUGAAAAAGUUAAUUCAUGUUAAUUAUGUACGUAUAGUUAGGGAAAUGUACAUACAGUGUGUAAAAAUGUCCAAUAAUUAUUAUUACAUAUUUUAAAUAUAGUCUCAUAUAGACUCAUCAAAUAAAAUCACUGUGUUUUAUUCUCUUUAAUCUAUAAAGAAACUUACACUUUGUAGUGGAGUAGAAGUACAAAGUUCAAUGAAAAGAAAAGACUUAAAUAAAGUACAAAUACUUUGCAUUUAAGUAAAUAUACUUCCAUAGUUAAAUUCCACCUCUGGUUAUUUGAAAGGAACCAGAACUUUGAUCCUCCGUCCCUGAGGCCGUGUUUACGUGAGCUCCUGUUGCUCCACGCUCGGCUGCCAUGAUGGAUCGCCCCCCCCCCCCCCCCCCCCCCCCUUUAAUCCACACACAC
ensembl:lncRNA